rnacentral:rRNA from 1 species
AUGUGGUUCAGAACUUCAAUCUAUGCUGAUGACAUAAUCAUCUUCUCCAAGCCGCUAAUCCACGACGCUACGGCGAUCAACGCCAUCCUCAAGCUGUUUGGACAAGCAACGGGCCUCCAAACAAACUUGAACAAGAGCAGCUUCUACCUGAUCUGUUGUCAGAAUUUGGACACCUCACAAUUGCAGCAGACGCUGGGAUGCACCCAGGGAUCAUUCCCUUGCACGUACCUGGGCAUGCCCCUGUCCGAUAGGAAGCUACGUAGGGUGGACCUACAGCCAAACAUUGACCGCCUAGCUGGAAAGUGCUCUGGAUGGAAGGUUGACUUGAUAAACCUGAUAGGCAGAGUGGUGCUCAUGCGAUCGGCCCUCUCGGCCAUGCUAGCCUUCCAGAUGAUUGCAAUACCACAAGCGAAGUGGCUAGACAAGAAAAUUGACAAAAUCCGCAGGCCCUUCCUUUGGGCCGGCAAGAAUUCUAUUUCAGGAGGAAAAUGCCUUGUCAGCUGGAAAUCUCUUUGCAGACCGACUGGACUUGGGGGGCUAGGCAUCUCAAACCUCGAAUUCCAAGGGGCGGCGCUGAGGGCACGCUGGCUUUGGCAGCAAGCUAAGUUCCCGGACAAGCCUUGGGCGGAUCUACCUUUUCCCUCUAACAAGCUCUCCGCUGCCAUCUUUACCGCAAGCACUGUAAUUGUUGUGGGAUCAGGGGUGUCGUGGUAA